rnacentral:rRNA from 1 species
UACGUAGGUGGCGAGCGUUGUCCGGAUUUACUGGGCGUAAAGGGAGCGUAGGCGGACUUUUAAGUGAGAUGUGGAAUACCCGGGCUCAACUUGGGUGCUGCAUUUCAAACUGGAAGUCUAGAGUGCAGGAGAGGAGAAUGGAAUUCCUAGUGUAGCGGUGAAAUGCGUAGAGAUUAGGAAGAACACCAGUGGCGAAGGCGAUUCUCUGGACUGUAACUGACGCUGAGGCUCGAAAGCGUGGGGAGCAAACAGGAUUAGAUACCCCCGUAGU